rnacentral:tRNA from 1 species
GCCAGUAUGGUGGAUAUGACUCUUGGCUUGUAACCGAGUGGGUUCGGGUUUGAAUCCCGAGUACGGCA